CCUUGCACUAAAGCGCUAGCUUUUUGUUAGCUACAAGACUCAGAAAAUAUCUGUUAAAACAGCUAGCUAGCAGUAGCCAUUGAUCUGUUUGGACACACCCUUUAUUAUUCCUGUGGAUGUAAUGCGCAUGCGCGCUCAUUCCCCACGUGUGAGAAACCAAGAUCCAGAUCCAGAUCCUCCUGGCAGAAUCAUCUUUGUCUUGAGGGCCUGGUCUGAUAUUAUAUACACUGAACUACAGAUCCUGGAAGAAUCAAUUUUCUUCUUUCUUGAGGUCCUGUGACUUUAUAUAGGUAAGC